rnacentral:rRNA from 1 species
UACAGAGGUCCCAAGCGUUGUUCGGAUUCAUUGGGCGUAAAGGGUGCGUAGGUGGCGGGGUAAGUUGGAUGUGAAAUCCCGGGGCUCAACCCUGGAACUGCAUUCAAUACUGCCUUGCUAGAGUACUGGAGAGGAGAUUGGAAUUUACGGUGUAGCAGUGAAAUGCGUAGAUAUCGUAAGGAAGACCGGUGGCGAAGGCGGAUCUCUGGACAGUUACUGACACUGAGGCACGAAGGCCAGGGGAGCAAACGGG